rnacentral:lncRNA from 1 species
GUCACAUGAUGGACAUGAUAUAAUGAAACAACAUUGUGGAGAGGAAAGCAUUAGGGGAGCCCACGGCUACAAAAACAAGUGAGUGAGAAGAGGUGGGAGGAAGAGAAACUACGCCACCUCCCCUGCAGCCGAGUGCACGCAGCAGCCUGGCGUGACAAGUGGGCGACGCCGGGGGGCAGGGAGCCGGGGUCCUUGGCCCUGGCCGGGGACCCCACCGCCCACCGCGCGGAGGACAACUUUUAGCCGGCAGCCCAGACCAGCGCGGCACCUGUCUCCGGAGUCUCCACCGCUCCUCCCGAUUCAUCCCAGGGAAAUUCUCAAGAAUACGCUCUACAAAUCUACGUGCGCAUCAUUUUCACCUCGCGUCGCGCCCGGGAGGAAGGAACGAGGCAAGGAGCUAAAGCAGCGUGCGUUCAGCCCUGGGGCAUUUUAUUAAUGCUUUUACGAGUUAGAAGAGUUGGGAUAAUUUGCCAUCUGGAGUUUCUCUGCCUUGCUGAUCUGAGCUCAGACCUGCCAAUUUACCAGAGAUAAUUGAUAACACCCUGUAACAGCUGAGAGGAAAAUGGAAGAAACGGAGAUACUUUUAGUGAAGCAGAAUAAACCACUGAACAGGAAAAAUGAGGAAGCUGUGAGUACCAGUGGAAGGAACGAGCCAGGAAGAGGGACUGGAACCAUCUCAGAAGCCAUGCCCCUCAGGCUGGAACUUGCCCUGUCUCCUCGCAGAUGAGGCUUGCACCCUCACGACAUGCUCUCUCUCUCUCCCUCUCCUCUUUUCUCUCUUCUCUCCCUUCUCUCCUCUCUCUUAUCUCUCUCUUCUCUCUCUCGUACACAUACUCUGGAAAGCCAGCUACCAUACUGGGAACUGCCCAAUGGAGAGGCCCACAUUCCACAAGGAACUGAUGUCUUCAGCCAAUACCUCGCCAGGACCUGAGGCCUGCUGAGAGUCACGAGUGGCCUUCGUGGGUCCUCUCUCAACGAGCUUGCAGGUGACCACUGCGCCAGCCAAAACCUUGAUGGCAGCCUAUGACCAAAAUGUGGAAGCAAUCUGAAUGUGCGUGAAUUGAAUGAAUCAAUGAAAUGUGGUGUAACAUUCGAAUGCAUUAUACAACCAUCGUUAGGGCUGAAUAAUGUACAACAGAAUAUUAUUCAGCCAUUAAAGGAAUGAAGGACUGAUUCAUGCUACAACAUGGGUGGACUUUGAAAACCUUAUUCCAAGUGAAAGAAGCCAGUAACAAAAGAUCACAUGUUGUAUUCAUUAGUUUAUAUGAAAUAUCCAGAAUAGGCAAAUCGAGACAGCCAAAAAGCAGAUUAAUGGUUGUCAGGGGCUGGGAGGACAGGGGAUGGGGAGUGACUACUUAACUGGUACAGAAUUUCCUGUUCUGGAAUUAGGUAGUGAUGGUGGUUACACAAUAUUGUGAAUGUACCAAAAGUCAUGAAUUGUAUGCUUUUAAAUGGCUAAAAUGAUGAAUUUUAUGUUAUAUAAAUUUUACCUCAAUAAAAAAAGUUAUUUAACUAUG